AACGAACGCUGGCGGCAGGCCUAACACAUGCAAGUCGAACGCCCCGCAAGGGGAGGUGGCAGACGGGUGAGUAACACGUGGGAACGUACCCUUCGGUUCGGGAUAACUCAGGGAAACUUGAGCUAAUACCGGAUACGUCCGAGAGGAGAAAGAUUUAUCGCCGAGGGAUCGCCCGCGUCUGAUUAGCUUGUUGGUGAGGUAACGGCUCACCAAGGCGACGAUCAGUAGCUGGUCUGAGAGGGAUGAUCAGCCACAUUGGGACUGAGACACGGCCCAAACUCCUACGGGAGGCAGCAGUGGGGAAUAUUGGACAAUGGGCGGCAAGCCUGAUCCAGCCAUGCCGCGUGAGUGAUGAA
rnacentral:rRNA from 1 species